UAGGGAAUCUUCCGCAAUGGACGCAAGUCUGACGGAGCAACGCCGCGUGAGUGAAGAAGGAUUUCGGUUCGUAAAACUCUGUUGUUAGAGAAGAACAGCGCAUAGAGUAACUGUUAUGCGUGUGACGGUAUCUAACCAGAAAGCCACGGCUAACUACGUGCCAGCAGCCGCGGUAAUACGUAGGUGGCAAGCGUUGUCCGGAUUUAUUGGGCGUAAAGCGAGCGCAGGCGGUCAAUUAAGUCUGAUGUGAAAGCCCCCGGCUCAACCGGGGAGGGUCAUUGGAAACUGGUUGACUUGAGUGCAGAAGAGGAGAGUGGAAUUCCAUGUGUAGCGGUGAAAUGCGUAGAUAUAUGGAGGAACACCAGUGGCGAAGGCGACUCUCUGGUCUGUAACUGACGCUGAGGCUCGAAAGCGUGGGUAGCAAAACAGG
rnacentral:rRNA from 1 species